AUGAACGCUGGCGGCGUGCCUAAUACAUGCAAGUCGAGCGAACAGACGAGGAGCUUGCUCCUCUGACGUUAGCGGCGGACGGGUGAGUAACACGUGGAUAACCUACCUAUAAGACUGGGAUAACUUCGGGAAACCGGAGCUAAUACCGGAUAAUAUAUUGAACCGCAUGGUUCAAUAGUGAAAGACGGUUUUGCUGUCACUUAUAGAUGGAUCCGCGCCGCAUUAGCUAGUUGGUAAGGUAACGGCUUACCAAGGCAACGAUGCGUAGCCGACCUGAGAGGGUGAUCGGCCACACUGGAACUGAGACACGGUCCAGACUCCUACGGGAGGCAGCAGUAGGGAGUCUUCCGCAAUGGGCGAAAGCUUGACGGAGCAACGCCGCGUGAGUGAUGAAGGUCUUCGGAUCGUAAAACUCUGUUAUUAGGGAAGAACAAAUGUGUAAGUAACUAUGCACGUCUUGACGGUACCUAAUCAGAAAGCCACGGCUAACUACGUG
rnacentral:rRNA from 1 species